CUUGGGGGAAGCCAUGACUGUUUAAACUGGAAUAAAAGUGGAAUAAAUCUCUGGUGUGAAUGUGGCCAUAGGAACGGAGGCGGAAAGGCGUGGGAGUUGGAAGAUCGGUCGAGAACAUGGAGGACGGAGGUCUGGAUUGGAAAGGCUGAGAUGAACAGGAAGGCUGAAGACAAAGGAAUGAGAGGCAUCCAGCUGCAUGAGAAAAUGAAUGGAGAUACCAAAUGGAAUGAACCAGGGCUAGUAAUGAAAUGGACAAGCAGUUCGCCUUGGAGAGUGGAGCAAAUGUGUCAAGAGUGGAGGACAAGGACAAGAAUGAAAGGUGGUAACUGGCAGAAGUGACAGCAGCGGAGAAAGGAAAGGACAAUGCUUUGGAGAAAGCUGGUACAUCAACAGACUGGAGGUCAUGGACAGAGCAAGCAGAAUGUUGUGAGUGAAUGAGGACUGCCUGCAGUGCUGAAGGAGAUAAGGUGAUCACACAGAAGGAAUUGCACUUCAGGAAGAUGGUUAAAGUGCCUUCUUUAGUGUCAUUCCAUGGUCUUUAUUCGAAUGAUCUCUUGAUCCUGAAAAUCAAUGCUGACAACUCUUUAUACAAGCAGAUGUGAAAUGUGUGGAGGAAUUAAAAUCUUCACUAUCCAGAAACUGCAUCCAAGCAUCUGUGACAUUGAUGUACACCUUAACAUGGUGAGGGGUUUUAGAUUGUCAAAGAAGCUGACAGCAAUGCCGUCAGGAGUCUUGAGCAAGAGGCUAGACUCCUAGCAGGGGCACCCAAGGCGGAAUGGUCAAAGCUGAGACACCAGACCUAGGAACAGAGUAUCCAAAAUGCAACAUGAGAUAGUGCUGGAAGAUGAGACCCCCAGGUCAGAUGGCACUCAGCAAGCUAUUGAGGAAGAACAAUGGACAAGUACAAGUAGUGCUGUGACUAAUGACAUAACUGGGUCAAAGCCGAAAGGAAGCCCAGAGGCUGAUGCACACAGAUGAGAAAGGAGAGUCAGGAGUUAUAUGACGUACAUAAUAGGAACACAGAAUGUGAAAAGCAUGAACCAGGGAAAGUUAGAAACUGACAAGCAAGAAAUGGAACCUAUCAACAUUACAAUAAAAAAGGUAAAGGUGUCGCCGCACUUGUAGUGUGAGUCGUUUCCGAUUCUUAGGGUGACGUCUUGCGACGUUUACUAGGCAGACCGUAUAUAUGGGGUGGGAUUGCCAGUUCCUUCCCCGGCCUCUCUUUACCCCCCAGCAUAUGCCGGGUACUCAUUUUACCGACCACGGAUGGAUGGAAGGCUGAGUGGACCUCGACCCCUUUUACUGGAGAUUCCACUUCCUUCUUCCGUUGGAAUCAAACUCCAGCCGUGAGCAGAGCUUUCGGCUGCGUUACUGCCGCUUACCACUCUGCACCACGGAGGAUCUUAAAAAAGACAAUACCUCUAGUUAAAAAGAAAGACCUCAAUGGAUGAUUGAAGAAACUAUUCCAAAAGAUCAAGAGUAGGGAUGUUGAAUAAUCAACAGGGGAACACACUGACCGACUGAGAUAAAAUAAAAGGAAGAUGGAAGCAAUACACUGAAGAACUCUAUAACUCUAUAAAAGAGAUGCCAGGAUGACAGAUUCAUUCAUGGAGGAACUGUAUGAUAAAGAACUAGAAAUUUCAGAUUGUGAGGUGAAAGCUGCUCUUAAUAUACUUGGAAGAAACAAAUCACCAGGAACAGAUGGCAUAUCAAUCGAGUUGCUACAAGUUACUGAGACUGAAUCUGUCCAAAUUUUGAAUAAAAAAACAAAACAAUGGCCCACAGACUGUAUAUGUUAAAUAUACAUCCCAAUUCAAAAGAAAGGGGGUUCCAGAGAAUGCAGUAAUUAUCAAACUAUUGUCUUAAUAUCCCAUGCAAGCUAAGUAAUGCUCAAGAUUCUACAACAAAGGUUCUUACCAUAUAUGGAGUGAGAAGUGCCAGAUGUCCAAGCUGGAUUUAGAAAAGGAAGAGGCACCAGAGACCAUAUCGCAAACAUACAUUGGAUAAUGGAACGAACCAAGGAAUUUCAGAAGAAAAUCACACUGUGCUUUAUAGAUUACAGCAAAGCCUUUGACUGUGUAGAUCAUGAAAAACUAUGGAAUGCUUUAAAAGAAAUGGGGGUGCCACAGCAUCUGAUUGUUCUGAUGCACAACCUAUACUGUGGACAAGCGGCUACUGUAAGGACAGAAUAUGGAGAAACCGAUUGGUACCCAAUCAAAAAGGGUGGGAGAUAGGAGGAUAUUGAAUUUGUUUAAUCUAUACACAGAAUAUAUCAUACAGAAAGCGGGAUUGGACCAAGAUGAAGGAGGUAUGAAAAAUUGGAGGAAGAAAUAUCAGUAAUUUAAGAGAUGCAGACGAUACCAUACUACUAGCAGAAAUCAGGAAUGAUUUGAAACGAAUGAUGAUGAAAGUUAAAGAGGAAAGCACAAAAGCAGGACUACAGCUGAACCUCAAGAAGAUUAAAGUAAUGACAACAGAAGAUUUAUGUAACUUUAAAGUUCACAACGAGGACAUUGAACUUGUCAAGGAUUAUCAAUACCUCGGCACAGUCAUUAACCAAAAUGGAGACAAUAGUCAAGAAAUCAGAAGAAGGCUAGGACUGGGGAGGGCAGCUAUGAGAGAACUAGAAAAGGUCCUCAAAUGCAAAGAUGUAUCACUGAACACUAAAAUCAGGGUCAUUCAGACCAUGGCAUUCCAAAUCUCUAUUUAUGGAUGUGAAAGUUGGUCAGUGAAAAAAGCAGAUAAGAGAAAAAUCCACUCAUUUGAAAUGUGGUGUUGGAGGAGAGCUUUGCACAUUCCAUGGACUGCGAAAAAGUCAAAUGAUUGGGUGUUAGAACAAAUUAUACCAGACCUAUCACUAGAAACUAAAAUGAUGAAACUGAGGUUAUCAUACUUUGGACACAUAAUGAGAAGACAUGAUUACUAGAAAAGACAAUUUGGGAAAAACAGAAAGGAGUAGAAAAAGAGGAAGGCCACACUAGAGAUGGAUUGAUUCCAUAAAGGAAGCCACAGACCUGAACUUACAAGACCUGAACAGAUCUUGGAGGUGGCUGAGUCAUAGCGUCACCAUAAGUUAUAAUCGAUUUGAAGGCAUAUAACAUGUUUUUUAUGUAAACUGCUUUGGUAAUUCA